UUUAAAAAAUGGUUCCUUUCAUCUCAGUGGAAUAAGAUUUUGUGAGUUUUCUACAUUAUCUGUCAAUAUUUAUAUAAAAAACUGGGCUUGAUUCGGUCGUUCAGAAGAUGUUUCAUUUUUUUUUUACAAAAGAGGCCCUUGGGGGUCAAAAUUAACCCAAUUAAAAAUGAAAUGGGAAAUGCAAAAAAUCCUUUUUUAUUUGUCAAAAAAAUCAAUGCAUCCAAAAUAAAUCAGAAAAUUUCAACACAGAAAAGAAGGCCUGGUACUAGAGCACAAAUGCAAUAUAGAAAAGACAUGCUCAAUCACAACACACACAAAGGUAUGACUGCCA